rnacentral:rRNA from 1 species
UACGUAGGGGGCAAGCGUUGUCCGGAUUUAUUGGGCGUAAAGAGCGUGUAGGCGGUUUGGUAGGUCCGUUGUGAAAACUCGAGGCUCAACCUCGAGACGCCGAUGGAAACCACCUGGCUAGAGUCCGGAAGAGGAGAGUGGAAUUCCCGGUGUAGCGGUGAAAUGCGCAGAUAUCGGGAAGAACACCCGUGGCGAAGGCGGCUCUCUGGGACGGUACUGACGCUGAGACGCGAAAGCGUGGGGAGCGAACAGG